CUCAAAUGAAUUGACGGGGACCCGCACAAGCGGUGGAUGAUGUGGAUUAAUUCGAUGCAACGCGAAAAACCUUACCUACCCUUGACAUGUCUGGAAUGCCGAAGAGAUUUGGCAGUGCUCGCAAGAGAACUGGAACACUGGUGCUGCAUGGCUGUCGUCAGCUCGUGUCGUGAGAUGUUGGGUUAAGUCCCGCAACGAGCGCAACCCUUGUCAUUAGUUGCUACGAAAGGGCACUCUAAUGAGACUGCCGGUGACAAACCGGAGGAAGGUGGGGAUGACGUCAAGUCCUCAUGGCCCUUAUGGGUAGGGCUUCACACGUCAUACAAUGGUCGGGACAGAGGGUCGCCAACCCGCGAGGGGGAGCCAAUCCCAGAAACCCGAUCGUAGUCCGGAUCGCAGUCUGCAACUCGACUGCGUGAAGUCGGAAUCGCUAGUAAUCGCGGAUCAGCAUGUCGCGGUGAAUACGUUCCCGGGUCUUGUACACACCGCCCGUCACACCAUGGGAGUGGGUUUUACCAGAAGUAGUUAGCCUAACCGCAAGGGGGGCGAUUACCACGGUAGGAUUCAUGACUGGGGUGAAGUCGUAACAAGGUAGCCGUA
rnacentral:rRNA from 1 species